GAUGAACGCUGGCGGCGUGCCUAAUACAUGCAAGUCGAGCGAACAGACGAGGAGCUUGCUCCUCUGACGUUAGCGGCGGACGGGUGAGUAACACGUGGAUAACCUACCUAUAAGACUGGGAUAACUUCGGGAAACCGGAGCUAAUACCGGAUAAUAUAUUGAACCGCAUGGUUCAAUAGUGAAAGACGGUUUUGCUGUCACUUAUAGAUGGAUCCGCGCCGCAUUAGCUAGUUGGUAAGGUAACGGCUUACCAAGGCAACGAUGCGUAGCCGACCUGAGAGGGUGAUCGGCCACACUGGACCUGAGACACGGUCCAGCCUCCUACGGGAGGCAGCAGUAGGGAAUCUUCCGCAAUGGGCGAAAGCCUGACGGAGCAACGCCGCGUGGGUGAUGAAGGUCUUCGGAUCGUAAAACUCUGUUAUUAGGGAAGAACAAAUGUGUAAGUAACUAUGCACGUCUUGACGGUACCUAAUCAGAAAGCCACGGCUAACUAC
rnacentral:rRNA from 1 species